GAGCAUAUAGAGUUCUAAACGUGCAUGCUUUCUCCAAGCCAAGGUGUGUUAAACAUCUAAAUUGGAGUUAUGCACGCUCGGUUAAUAUCUAUGGCUUUUUUAUGCUUACCAUUGAGAUUUCAGUUCAUGAAGGCAGUAACGACAACAGCGAAGACAGUUUCUUAAGGCUUUUCCUGCACUUCUGUGCCCUCUAUUUGAUCAUCUGCCAAGGUUUGUGAAUAGUGCCAAAUCAAACAGCACAGCAUCUCUAUGAGGCUCCUCCUGGGAGUUAAGGAAUUCUGCAGUUGGAGCACGGGCCCAUUGUCACGGACAGCCACUGCUGCUAUGGAGUUACCAUCUCCAAUGAAGGAAAGAGGAAAGGGAGGUGUGAGAAGCACUGCAGCCACGCCAGUUUCUUUAACAGGAAAGCAAAGGUUUCCAGAGACCACUCUUUUCAGUGACAGACAUCUCCAUGGGCUGUUCUUUGUGACCACCGGCUGUGUUGUGAGAACUGUUUUGGUCUUGCUUUUCUUCAUGCCUGUCAAAGGCCACAGAGUGUUGAAGCCUGCAAACGCAGCCUGAAUCAGCACGGACCCCGGAGACUUUCAACAGCAUCUCAAUAAAACUUUCAAUUAUCUCCAUUUUAUACACAGUAUUUCAGUUGUGGGUGACACACUUCGUCUGAACAAAAUUAUAUUAAAUAACACCUUGAAUGAAAAGGUCCAUUCAAACAGAGAAAUAAUACAGAGAAUUAUACCCAAUAUCUUGUUUUUUAUUAUACAUUAUGAAUAAAAUCACUACUAAAAGCCAAGAAAAAUCAUCAAUGUUCUUUUUAGAAUCACAAAUGUCCCAACAAGCUUUGAUUUGAAAACCCCUUGUGGCCUAAGCACCUUAAGCUAUCUUGCAGAAAAUUCUAUGUGUGUUAAAACACUUGCAGGGACUACUUUUCCAAAGAAAUGAUUAUUAAAGGACAUUAGUGAAACAUCUUUAUAUUGACUCAUUUUAGAGCUAUCCGUUCACUCUUUAUUCUUUGAAUGUGUUUAUCUUGUUUUAUUAGCAACUUGUUGCUAGAUUCUGAUGUGUUAAUUCUUAGCUACAGUAAGGUUGUUUUAAAUGUUAUGUUUACUAUGAUAUUACUUAAAAAAAAUGUUACAUUUUCGCCUCUGUGUAAGCACAGAGCUGGUGAACUAAACAACAUACAUAACUCUCAAUCUAUCAUCUGCAUUCCCUUUGCAUUAGGUGUAACACUGGCACAAAAAUCAGAGCCCCAGCUCCAAUUUUUCCAGCUGUCUCUGUUGCCCUGUGAUCUUUUGGUACAAAUUUUCUAGCCUGUUUGAAAAGGCAGGCUUCUACCCCCUUCUUUGAUUGUACUUAGGCAUUUUGCCAGCCUGCGACAUGGAUUAAUAUGAACAGAAUCACAGACUUUUCUGAACACUAGUCAUUUACGUGUGUUUAGUAGCAUAUACCCAGCAAGAGAAAGGCAGGCUGCCGUUGCCUUUGUAUAGAGUCUGGGUAGGUUUUGAUUUCACUCAGAGUCAAGAACAAAGCAACCUCUGACUUUUCCUCAAACUCAGCCCCUAUGGAAUGACUUUUAAUGACUUCACGAACUGCUAGCCUUCAGAUGACUGGAGCGUUUUUUGCUUCUUAAGUUUUUCCUUCUAUGACGUUUUAUGAUUAUACCUUAUGGUGCAGUUCUAUUUUUGUUCUCAUGUGUUUCUGAGUGCUUAAAGUCUAGAGGAAAAAUUUUUUAACUCAUUUGGCUCCCAUGAAAUGUGCUUUUCAGUUUGGGGAUAACGUGGAGAGAAGCUUUAAGUACUGUGCCAAUACCAAACAUGGCAUUCCCUAUUGAAUGAGCCAAUUCCAUCCCCUGAGUCUGAAUAAUUUAG
rnacentral:lncRNA from 1 species